rnacentral:lncRNA from 1 species
UCCUGUCAAAACCUAGCGUGCAGCAAUGAUCUAGCGUGAGGCCGAGCUGGGCAGAGGGGCCCUCCCCCUGUGAGGCCGAGACGGGAACGAGCCGGAGUAGGCGACGACAUGGUGUGCUGCGUGGUCGCAUUCGGAGGAGAGUCCGUCACAUCCGUGACCCCACUAUCUAUCUUAGGGGUGUGGCUCUGGGGUGCAUGCCGUGGGGGUGGAAAUAGAAUGACCAGAUUGUGUGCUGUCAAAAUAUAGCGCACAGUAAUGCGGUAGCGCGAGGCCGAGCCGGGGAAGGGUGGUCGGGACCCCCUCCCCUCCCCCUGCAAGGCCGAGACAGGAACGAGCUGGAGCAGGCGACGAUGCGGUGUGCCGCAUCGUCGCAUGCGGAGGCGAGUCUGUCACAUUCGUGACCCCACUAUCUAUCUCAGGGGUGUGGCUCUGGGGUGCGUGUGGUGGGGGUGGAAAUAGAAUAACCGCAUUGCGUCCUGUCAAAACCUAGCACGCAGCAAUGCAGAAGCACGAGGCCGAGCCGCAUGUGUACUUUGUGUGUAUUUGAAUUUUUAACUUCUAUAUUGUUUCUAAGUUGUGUAUUUUAGUUAGAUACGGACUUCAUAUGUUUUUUUAUUUGAACUUCUUCUUAUUGUUUCGUAGUGUUUAUUUAUUCAUAUGCCUUUACUUCGCUGAUUAGUGUACUCGAACUUCUGUUUUUUAUUUUUUGAACUUAUUUCUCUUGUUUAUAAGUGCUUAUUUUUGUGUAUGUAUUUUUCUCCCCUUGGUAGUGUACUUGACCUUUCUGUUUGCCAUCAAUUUUUGGUUUUAAGUAUACCAGCAGAUUUGUUAUGUGAUCUUAUCUUUUUAAAAUAGUUGCAUUCAAAUGG